GAUCCUGGCUCAGAUUGAACGCUGGCGGCAGGCCUAACACAUGCAAGUCGAGCGGUAACAGAAAGUAGCUUGCUACUUUGCUGACGAGCGGCGGACGGGUGAGUAAUGCUUGGGAACAUGCCUUGAGGUGGGGGACAACAGUUGGAAACGACUGCUAAUACCGCAUAAUGUCUACGGACCAAAGGGGGCUUCGGCUCUCGCCUUUAGAUUGGCCCAAGUGGGAUUAGCUAGUUGGUGAGGUAAUGGCUCACCAAGGCGACGAUCCCUAGCUGGUUUGAGAGGAUGAUCAGCCACACUGGGACUGAGAC
rnacentral:rRNA from 1 species